GUGCUCCCUGCGGCAGCACCUAUACUAAAAUUGAAACGAUACAGAGAAGAUGAGCAUGGCCCCUGCACAAGGAUGACAUACGAAUUCAUGAAGCAUUUCAUAUUUUU